rnacentral:misc_RNA from 1 species
AAAGUCGUAACAAGGUAACCGUAGGUGAACCUGCGGUUGGAUCAUUAAAAAAAAAGGGAUGGAACUGUAGAUAGAUUUAGCUUAGGUCGUUCGUUCGUUCUCCCUGAGACCCUUCGGGCUCUCAGGGCGUGAAAUUGCGUGGCAGCUGUGAACCUGUUCUUGGCUGCCACCCUUUUCCCCACCCAUUCUAUACUGUUAAUUUCUGACAUGCUCGUACCUGUUGGUACACGAAUGCAAACAACUUUUGGCAACGGAUCUCUUGGCUCUC